UUACGGUCAUAUCACGUAGAAACACUGUUUCUCGUGCGAUCACCUAAGUUAAGCAACGUCGAUCCUGGUCAGUACCUAGACGAGGGACCGCUUGGAAAUAGUAUGUGCUGUAAG